CGAAUCUUCAAACAUAUAAGCAGAAGGCUAUUGAAACACUAUGCACUGUUUAUUAGAAUUCCAGCUGCAAAUUAAGGGUUCACAGCUAAAGAGUUCUAUAGCGACACUAUAAAAGGUAGCACAUCUGUCCUAGACACUGCGUUCGUGUGCACUGCACCAAAAUAAAAUAAAGUCUGUUAAGUGGGAGGAGAAAGAAAACGUGAUCACGUUAGGUGUAACAGCAGCCACCUGUACUUCCGCAUAGAGGGGCGGUUUCAGAAACGGGCGUGCAUUGGUUCCUAGUCCUGCGAGCAGAAGACUGCGGUUAGAAAUCGGAUUAUGUUUUUGCAUGACAUCAGAUGGUGCAUGAAUGACCUGUUUGUCAUGAAGCCUACUGUCGCUCAGAGCUUUGGAGAGGCAGUGGACUGUGAGUUGUGUUCUAGUAUUUGAGUAUAUUCUGUUUGUGCUGAUUUAUACCUGUGUGCAAUAUUACUGAGGGGAAAAUUCCUGCUCUUUCCCCCCCACACACCAAAAUUUACCCAAAUUAUUUGAUAGCGAUUCCGGUAUCAGUCAUGCAGAAUGGCUGUACAAGUUUUAGACACACAGAGUACGUUACAUAUGGAAAUACGACAGCAGAAUGUGGAUUUAAAAAAAAAAAAACCAAUCCAUUUUCUGAUGUUUUCCUCAGAAACACAUACAGUAUUUGCAAUGCCAGCACAGGACACUACAUUUAGAAAACACUACAGCAGGCCAUGAAUUUGGAAAAUAGAUAGAGCAAAAUUUACUCUCGGCUGUAAAUAAUGGAAAUAGAUUGCCAGAUUUCCCCAUUUUGCUCCACACAUUCCCAUGAGGAUAGACUGAGCAUAGCAUGUUUUCUCUGUGUGACUUGUUUGACAUUUAUAAAACAAAAUAAAGUGCUAUUUAGUGUAGGAUUUAUUUUAGGGUUUUAAAGUGCAAAUUAGUGUAUUGAGAAUAUACUCGAAAUAUGGCACAGCUCAAUAUGAGUAUUUUAGUUGAAGGGAGGAAAAAACAGUCAAAAUGUGCUUUCUGAAGUUUCACAAAUGCUGAGAUACGUUAACUGAGUGGUAUUGGCGGCAUCCUACACCUCGGUUGCACAAUGCUUAUUACUUAGACGCUGUAAGGCAAUGGGUGGUCCUGCAGGUCUUUAAGGAAAGACAAACUCAACGGAUACACUUAAUUUCAGUGCCUCUUCCAGAUUCGCAUACUAGCUUGUUCUGAACGCUACAUGAUACUGUCAUUUAUUUUUCAGUGGUUGUGAAGCUAAGUCAUAAAACGAGCCCAAAAGAAAAAAUACAUUAGGUGGGGUUUGGAGAUACGAUUCUGAUCCUCUGGUUUCAGAUGGACAACAUUGAUGGGUAGCAGGCAAAAGCCUUUCCAAGUUAUAGUUGUUGCAUUGUACACACACGCGCACACACACACACACACACAGAUGUAUAUGACACACGCUAUGAUUCUAUCUGUGCCCCAUUAAUUGCAUUCCAUGCCUUUACUUUUAUUUAGAUGUCACUGGUUUGUCACAAUGUAAACAGUAUUUUCUGCAGAUCUCACCUCUGCCUCCUUUCUUCUCCUUGCAGAACUAGCCCAUUAUUUCCUGAACUGGGGAAGUAGUAAUAUUUUGUUUUGUGAGCAAUGAAAUAACGAGGCCUUUCAAUACAUUUUAAAAAAUGUAAAAGCUAUAGGUGCAUUUUAAUACUUGUAGAUGCUAAUUUCAAUAGGAUUCUGAAGUUUUAAGGUUGCACUGAGUUGCAGUUCCUUUCUGUUCAUAAUACUCGGUGCUGUUUAAUACCUCUCUUUGCACAAAAACCUGGCACGGCUGCCAUAGUAACCGUGAUAUUGCAGGUACUGAGCUGUUGAUUUGAAAAUCACUUAGCUGUGUUUGGGGAGAGAUGCUGUCCUCAUGGGGAUGAGCAAAGAACCGGGCUUCUUCAUAAGCCUCAACUGCUGCAAGCUGGUGGCUCUAAGCCUGAUGUGAGGGAGGCAGCUGGAGGCAGCUGUGCAGC